GAUAAUGCAAGAAGGUAAUAAGCCGAUUUUGUUUUUGUUUCUUUUCCUCUCUCAUGAUGUACCCUGAAUGACAUUUUCUGCAGUGGUAUGCCCUUAAGCCCAUAGCCAGAGUAAUGUGUGGUUCCCAGCAUGUUAGCCGUGACACCCUCUUUUUCACUCAGGAGAAAUAUUAGAUUGCACAUGAUUGAGAAUAAGGUUGCUGAAUGAUUAACUUUUCAAUUUAAUUUCUUAACUCUAAUAUUAAUAAAAGUAAGACGCUCACAAGCUUUGAUCCUUCCACAUUAGUAACAGAUUACUCACUGCAAUACUUUCAUAUUCCAACAUAAUGUUUGAGAAGCAUGCCUGUGAACAGUGUUAAAUUAUAC
rnacentral:lncRNA from 1 species